GUGGGGAAUAUUGGACAAUGGGGGAAACCCUGAUCCAGCAAUGCCGCGUGGGUGAUGAAGGCCUUCGGGUUGUAAAGCCCUUUUGGCGGGGACGAUGAUGACGGUACCCGCAGAAUAAGCCCCGGCUAACUUCGUGCCAGCAGCCGCGGUAAUACGAAGGGGGCUAGCGUUGUUCGGAAUUACUGGGCGUAAAGGGCGCGUAGGCGGCUCGAACAGUUGGGCGUGAAAGGCCUGGGCUCAACCCGGGAACUGCGUUCAAUACUGCCGGGCUAGAGUGUGGGAGAGGAUAGCGGAAUUCCCAGUGUAGAGGUGAAAUUCGUAGAUAUUGGGAAGAACACCAGUGGCGAAGGCGGCUAUCUGGACCACAACUGACGCUUAGGCGCGAAAGCGUGGGGAGCAAACAGGAUUAGAAACCCCUGUAGUCC
rnacentral:rRNA from 1 species